rnacentral:tRNA from 1 species
GGCUCGGUAGCUUAGUUGGUAAAGCGCUCGUCUAGCAUACAAGAGUCCUGGGUAUAAAUCCCAACCGAGCAC